rnacentral:hammerhead_ribozyme from 1 species
AUUCAGCUGACGGGUCCCGAAAUAGGACGAAACGUGCGCCCUGGAU